UAUCCGUAGGUGAACCUGCGGAAGGAUCAUUCAUAAUAAAGUGUUUUAUGGCACUUUUUAAAAAUCCAUAUCCACCUUGUGUGCAAUGUUAGAUCUCGUCAAUCUUGGCGAGAUUUUUAUACAUCAACUCAUUCUUUAACUAAUUUGUCUGAAAAAUAUUAUGAAUACUUAAUUCAAAAUACAACUUUCAACAACGGAUCUCUUGGCUCUC
rnacentral:misc_RNA from 1 species